rnacentral:rRNA from 1 species
ACGCACGCUGGCGGCGUGCUUCACACAUGCAAGUCGCACGGAAAGACCCUGCUUUUGUGGGGUGCUCGAGUGGCGAACGGGUGAGUAACACGUGAGUAACCUGCCCUUGACUUUGGGAUAACUUCAGGAAACUGGGGCUAAUACCGGAUAGGAGCUCCUGCUGCAUGGUGGGGGUUGGAAAGUUUCGGCGGUUGGGGAUGGACUCGCGGCUUAUCAGCUUGUUGGUGGGGUAGUGGCUUACCAAGGCUUUGACGGGUAGCCGGCCUGAGAGGGUGACCGGCCACAUUGGGACUGAGAUACGGCCCAGACUCCUACGGGAGGCAGCAGUGGGGAAUAUUGCACAAUGGGCGGAAGCCUGAUGCAGCAACGCCGCGUGCGGGAUGACGGCCUUCGGGUUGUAAACCGCUUUCGCCUGUGACGAAGCGUGAGUGACGGUAAUGGGUAAAGAAGCACCGGCUAACUACGUG